rnacentral:rRNA from 1 species
UACAGGAGGUCCCAAGCGUUGUUCGGAUUCACUGGGCGUAAAGGGUGCGUAGGCGGUCGGGUAAGUCUGAUGUGAAAUCUCACAGCUUAACUGUGAAACUGCAUUGGAUACUAUCCGGCUCGAGGAAUGGAGGGGAGACUGGAAUACUUGGUGUAGACAGUGAAAUGCGUAGAUAUCAAGUGGAACACCAGUGGCGAAGCGAGUCUCUGGACAUUUCCUGACGCUGAGGCACGAAAGCCAGGGGAGCGAACGGG